rnacentral:rRNA from 1 species
GGGUGCGAUCAUACCAGUGUUAAUGCACCGAAUCCCAUCAGAACUCCGCAGUUAAGCGCGCUUGGGCUAGAGUAGUACUAGGAUGGGUGACCUCUGGGGAAAUCCUAGUGUUGCACCCU